rnacentral:rRNA from 1 species
UACGGAGGAUGCAAGCGUUAUCCGGAUUCAUUGGGUUUAAAGGGUGCGUAGGCGGAAUAAUAAGUCAGUGGUGAAAGCCUGCGGCUUAACCGUAGAACUGCCAUUGAUACUGUUAUUCUUGAGUAUAGUUGAGGUGGGCGGAAUGUGUAAUGUAGCGGUGAAAUGCUUAGAUAUUACACAGAACACCAAUUGCGAAGGCAGCUCACUAAGCUGUUACUGACGCUGAGGCACGAAAGCGUGGGGAGCAAACAGG